CCUACGGGAGGCAGCAGUGAGGAAUAUUGGUCAAUGGGCGCGAGCCUGAACCAGCCAAGUAGCGUGAAGGAUGACUGCCCUACGGGUUGUAAACUUCUUUUAUAAAGGAAUAAAGUGAGGCACGUGUGCCUUUUUGUAUGUACUUUAUGAAUAAGGAUCGGCUAACUCCGUGCCAGCAGCCGCGGUAAUACGGAGGAUCCGAGCGUUAUCCGGAUUUAUUGGGUUUAAAGGGAGCGUAGAUGGGUUGUUAAGUCAGUUGUGAAAGUUUGCGGCUCAACCGUAAAAUUGCAAUUGAUACUGCCUUGCUGGAAUGCGGAUGCCGUGGGAGGAAUGUGUGGUGUAGCGGUGAAAUGCAUAGAUAUCACACAGAACACCGAUUGCGAAGGCAUCUCACGAAUCCGCGAUUGACGCUGAUGCACGAAAGCGUGGGUAUCAAACAGGAUUAGAUACCCUGGUAGUC
rnacentral:rRNA from 1 species